AUCUUCCACAAUGGGCGAAAGCCUGAUGGAGCAACGCCGCGUGAGUGAAGAAGGAUUUCGUUUCGUAAAACUCUGUUGUAAGGGAAGAACAAGUACAGUAGUAACUGGCUGUACCUUGACGGUACCUUAUUAGAAAGCCUCGGCUAACUACGUGCCAGCAGCCGCAGUAAUACUUAGGUGGCAAGAGUUGUCCGGAAUUAUUGGGCAUAAAGCGCGCGCAGGUGGUUUCUUACGUCUGAUGUGAAAGCCAACGGCUCAACCGUGGAGGGUCAUUGGAAACUGGGAGACUUGAGUGCAGAAGAGGAUAGUGGAAUUCCAAGUGUAGCGGUGAAAUGCGUAGAGAUUUGGAGGAACACCAGUGGCGAAGGCGACUAUCUGGUCUGUAACUGACACUGAGGCGCGAAAGCGUGGGGAGCAAACA
rnacentral:rRNA from 1 species